rnacentral:lncRNA from 1 species
AAACAGGACCUGGAACAUCCAGGGAGCGUCUGGGCUGCAGGUUUAAAAAAUAUCCUGGACUUUGGAAAAUAUUCUUAUAUAAAGAAGCAAAAAGAGGAUGGAAUAGACUUGUGCUAACACUGAAACUCCAGUCAAGUUGUAAACUGAAAAAGAACGUGUUGAAACAAGGAAUUGCCCCAUAGCCUUCACAGCUAAGAAUUCUGACUGGGGGAGAAGAACGGUAGGCCAUUUUGGAGCAUGGAGCAUCUUGAGAGAUAUGAAAAAUCUGGGUAAGAUGAUAUACAGGCAGGUAGAAGAGGGAAGGAAAAA